rnacentral:misc_RNA from 1 species
CAAAUAGGCAGUUUAUUAUUAUAUGGCGCGUUACAAAUACUAUUUAUUUUUAUAUCUAAGUAAAUUGAUUAUAUUAUGAACAUAUUGAUGGUGUCUGCGAAGUAAAUAUUAUAAUACGUUGUAUAUUUAUAUUUACAAUUUUAUUGUAUGAGGCCUAAAAAUUAGGAUCUCUUUUAAAACAAUGAAUAGUAAAAUAUUAACUACAAUUGCUAAUGCUAUGGACACCAAAGAGGAGCUAAAGAAACGGAUAGAAACAUCUAAACUCGUAUCACAAGAGUUACAGACUUGCAUUCAAAAUUGCCAAAAUCGAUUUGGAGGUAAAGCUGAACUUGCUACAGAAGAUGAUAUAAGAAUAGUACAACUUUGUGAAAAAUGGGAAAAAGUCCUCAGUCAUGGUAUAAGAACCAACUUAUCUAACUCAGCUUUACAGAGCUUAGUGACUGCUGGAUUAAAUUUUACAUUUAACAUUGUCAAUAUUGGAAACUCUUUGUGGAGUUACACAUGUCUACACCUUACUAAACAUGAGAAAGAAAGAUUUAAAAUUCUGUCAAAUAUCAACACUCCACUUGGAUACUUCAGGGCCUUCAUUAGAGCUGCUUUAAAUGAAAGGUCACUUGAAAGAUACCUCCAAAGCUGGGUUGCACACGGUCUUCUGAUGGAAUAUUAUGAAGAAGGUGCUUUAGUGAGGAACAAUGAAUUAGCAUAUCAGUUACCUAAUAUGGCUUCAGGAUUAUCAACCAUUUUAUUUGCAUUGUCAAUUGAUAGAGUGGAAUUAAAUGAAACUCAGCAAGCAAACCAAUCUAAUAAAGCAGAAUUAGUUAUAUCCUUGCCUGCUCCCGUAAAACCCUCCAAUCAAAAGCGAAAGCCGCUGCGACAAGUAAUAUCAUUCGAUAAAAAUGAUUCCAAAAAUAAAACCAAAGAUGAGAGAAAACUGUUAAGGUCUCCAAGUAUGAAAGAUGACUCUUUAUGGAACAGCGCGCCCGCUACGUGCCUGAACUCGCCGGAUCCUAAAACUCUUCCUCAAGCUUCCACUAGUGAACCCACCAGUUCAGAAUAUAAGAAUAGCAUACGACAUUUCUUCCCAGACAGUGUGAAAGGCAUAGACAGUCCUUCUCAAAUAUUUUCAAAAUUGUCAGAGUGUGCUAAAGAAAUAUUUUCGUCAUCUAACAGCAUAGAUACAAACAAUGUGGCUAAAGAUGAUGUUUCUGUGUCGAGUAUUAACAAUUUAAAAAUAUCAGAAAGUGACAGUGAGGAAGUAGCAGGCAGCAUCGACGGGAGUACUUCUUGUCUGGAACUUUGUUUUACCGAAGACGAAAGCGUGCCUGAAGACAAAACUCAUUCCAUUUUAGAAAUAAGGGAAAAGGAAUUUUUGAAUUUACAACUAAAAUGUAAUCAUAUUGAGCAGACAAGCAAGGAAAAAAUACUGAAAUUAGAGAAAAUCAUACUGGAUUUAAGCAAAGAAAAUGACCGUCUUAAAGGUCAAUUAAGACAGUACAUGUCUGCUGUUGAAAUGGGGGCUGCGUUGAAAAACAACGGUGACGAGCAGGAAGCUGACCAAUAUGAGAAAAAACUUGUUCAAGUAGCAGAAAUGCACGCAGAGCUAAUGGAAUUCAAUCAACAUCUACAAAAGCGCUUACAAGAGUUGGAGAGCAGAUCAGAAUUGGAGGUGCUGGACCAUCCUGAAACUAACGUGAAGGCUUAUAUCCCCACCGCGUUUCUUGUCGGGAAGAAAACUCAAUCCUACCACGUCUAUCAGAUAUUCCUCAAAAUUGGUCACGAAGAAUGGAAUGUGUACCACCGAUAUGCCAAGUUCCACGAGCUCCAUAUGCAGCUGAAGAAAUUACAUCCAGACAUAGCGUCGUAUAAUUUUCCUCCUAAGAAAACACUCCGGAAACGGAACGCACACCUUGUGGAGAGCCGGCGGGUGGCGCUGCAGGCCUACCUGCGUCAUAUUCUGCUGGUUCAGCCCGAGUUGAGGGAGUGCACCAGUCGCGCGCAGCUUAUCUCCAUCUUACCGUUCUUUGGCACUUCAUCGUCAUCAAGAUCGAACGGAUCGAGUCACAUGCUAAAUCGCCAACAUUCCAACGAGUCAACUUCCACUUACGAUGCUUUCUGAUUGCCAAAUAAAUUGCUGCGACAACUAGUUAUUAAGCGAAACUGAAAUACAAGUUUAGGAAAAGGCGGUUAUCAUAAAUAUGAUCCAUGUCUCCAAUGAUGACCAAUCAACCCUUUGACCGCCGAAGAUGUCAACUGAUGCCGCAAGAAGUUAAAAUAUAUCUUAAACCAAUGGGUAUUGAAUCAGGCCCUGAUUCACAGGAUUUAAAUUAUUUAUAGGAUGUAUUUCAAGAAAUACUGUGAAUUUACAACCACACUGUAUAUUUUACAUAUCAAAUUGAUACAAAUAUGAGAUAGCAUUAAAGAAGAUCUCGGAUCAUUAUCAACCAUGCUUUCUAACUAUGUUUAGGUACCAUACCCGCGGCUUUCAAAGUUUUAUGAGUGUUGCUAAUGUUGCUAUUAUAUUAUAUCGACAGUGUUUCUACUUCGAAUAAAAUUAACGGCAUUUUAGUGUUGGGCAUUAUAUUGGUCUUCACAAAAUGUAUUGUGUAGUGGCCAUUUUUUUUUCAAAGUUGUCCACCCCACUUUUUUUGUAACAUGGGUAUUUUUUACGCGAUUAAUACUCAGAAUCGCGAGCUCUUUCGAUCCUGAUAGGGGAAAAACAUG